UACGGGGGGGGCAAGCGUUGUUCGGAAUUACUGGGCGUAAAGGGCUCGUAGGCGGCCAACUAAGUCGGAUGUGAAAUCCCCAAGCUUAACUUGGGAACUGCAUCCGAUACUGGAUGGCUUGAAUCCGGGAGAGGGAUGCAGAAUUCCAGGUGUAGCGGUGAAAUGCGUAGAUAUCGGAAGGAACAUCAGUGGCGAAAGCGACUUCCUGGACCAAUACUGACGCUCAUGUGCGAAAGCGUGGGGAGCAAACAGG
rnacentral:rRNA from 1 species